rnacentral:rRNA from 1 species
UACGUAGGGUGCAAGCGUUGUCCGGAAUUAUUGGGCGUAAAGAGCUCGUAGGCGGUUUGUCGCGUCUGCUGUGAAAACUCGGGGCUCAACUCCGAGCUUGCAGUGGGUACGGGCAGACUAGAGUGCGGUAGGGGAGACUGGAAUUCCUGGUGUAGCGGUGGAAUGCGCAGAUAUCAGGAGGAACACCAGUGGCGAAGGCGGGUCUCUGGGCCGUAACUGACGCUGAGGAGCGAAAGCAUGGGGAGCGAACAGG